CGCCACAUAAAACAGCGUCAAUGAUAAUUCCAAAAGAGCAAAGGGCCAGAAAGCAUAUACCAACACAAUUCCAGCCCCCAUCCCAAAACACAUGCACACACACACAAUCAAAAAUAUCGUUGUUAGUGAUCGGUGAGCAAUGUGUCAUUGUCAAUGAGCUAAACCAAGAACAUACAUAUACAACAGCUCAAUAAUACUGAAAAGUAUCAAAUGCAUAUGACUAAAGACACCAAAUGAACUGUAAUUCAAAAAGUAAAAUUCACCCACCAUGUGGUUUUCUUUUUAUGCCACUUACACACCUUUAAUAGAACGCUAAGAACCCAAUGCAAUAAACAAUGAUAAUUCAUCACGAUUUAAAAAGAAAAAAUACCGAGAUUAACAAAUCAUCACUCAAUAAUUUCAGGUUGCCUAAUAUUCAAAUUCUAAUAGAUAAAAAAACAACUAAUUUUUGAACUAAAACAUGCAAUACCUGAAAAGAAUCAAGCCAACUGAGACGUGGGUAGAGGUUAAAUUCAAGAAAUUGUGAUCUGGGGCAAUAAGAAACCAUGAAGGCCUCCACUCUGGGAUGGAAUACUGUCAUUCUACCAUGACACAAAUCCAUGGUACAAAUCGGGAAUUACGGAAACCACAAGCUGUCCCUAGACCAAGCAAUUGUGGAGGAAAUUACGAAGAUUAUUGAGGGCUUCCAGCCAUUGAAGGCAGGAGAGAUGAGGGGAUGGGAAACAGAGAUUUUAGCGACGCUACACUUCAGGCUAUUGGGUUAGACCUUUU
rnacentral:misc_RNA from 1 species